CAUACAAAAUGCUUGGUAAAGGCACUAGCCACAAAGCUGAACAAAUUGAGUUGGAUUCCCAGGACUGAUAUCAGAAAAGUAAAGAACUAAGUCCCACAAGAUGAACUCCACACAUCUUAUGUCAUGAGGUCACCUCUCAAGUCCCCUCACACUGAAAAGGAAUAAGCAGAACCAAGUAAAGUUGCACCUGCAAUCAUCAUUUUAUCAUACAAUCAUCAUUGCAAGCUCGGAUCCUUGGGUGCCAAGAUUGCUUAUGAGGGAAAACAGUUUCCAUGCACACUUAAGGCUUGGAGUCUCCAUCCCUGGACCACCUGAAUCUAAAGAAGCCAACCAGCUCCACAAAUUUGUCCUCUGAACUCCACAUAUACUCUGUUCUCUACUAGGCCUGGUGUCUGAAGAACAAUACUAGAAGUGCAUGCAAUGAAGCACAGAGAAGCAAGCCUGGGUAAUCAUACUGUAUUUCUUUUGAACAU